AUGAACGCUGGCGGCGUGCCUAAUACAUGCAAGUCGAGCGAACGGACGAGAAGCUUGCUUCUCUGAUGUUAGCGGCGGACGGGUGAGUAACACGUGGAUAACCUACCUAUAAGACUGGGAUAACUUCGGGAAACCGGAGCUAAUACCGGAUAAUAUUUUGAACCGCAUGGUUCAAAAGUGAAAGACGGUCUUGCUGUCACUUAUAGAUGGAUCCGCGCUGCAUUAGCUAGUUGGUAAGGUAACGGCUUACCAAGGCAACGAUGCAUAGCCGACCUGAGAGGGUGAUCGGCCACACUGGAACUGAGACACGGUCCAGACUCCUACGGGAGGCAGCAGUAGGGAAUCUUCCGCAAUGGGCGAAAGCCUGACGGAGCAACGCCGCGUGAGUGAUGAAGGUCUUCGGAUCGUAAAACUCUGUUAUUAGGGUAGAACAUAUGUGUAAGUAACUGUGCACAUCUUGACGGUACCUAAUCAGAAAGCCACGGCUAACUACGUG
rnacentral:rRNA from 1 species